UUCUGGCUCAGGAUGAACGCUAGCUACAGGCUUAACACAUGCAAGUCGAGGGGCAUCAUGUUGGUUGCUUGCAACCAAUGAUGGCGACCGGCGCACGGGUGAGUAACGCGUAUCCAACCUUCCCCUUAGUAGAGGAUAGCCCGGCGAAAGUCGGAUUAAUACUCUAUGUUCUUCAAUGCGGACAUCUAAGUUGAAGCAAAGAUUUAUCGCUAAGGGAUGGGGAUGCGUCUGAUUAGGUUGCAGGCGGGGUAACGGCCCACCUGGCCUACGAUCAGUAGGGGUUCUGAGAGGAAGGUCCCCCACACUGGUACUGAGACACGGACCAGACUCCUACGGGAGGCAGCAGUGAGGAAUAUUGGUCAAUGGGCGCGAGCCUGAACCAGCCAAGUAGCGUGCAGGAACCGACUGCCCUAUGGGUUGUAAACUGCUUUUAUCAGGGAAUAAAGUGAGGCACGCGUGCCUUUUUGUAUGUACCUGAUGGAUAAGGACCGGCUAAUUCCGUGCCAGCAGCUGC
rnacentral:rRNA from 1 species